GACGAACGCUGGCGGCGUGCUUAACACAUGCAAGUCGAACGGAAUGGCCCUGCUUUUGUGGGGUGGUCGAGUGGCGAACGGGUGAGUAACACGAGAGUAACCUGCCCUUGACUCUGGGAUAACUUCAGGAAACUGGGGCUAAUACCGGAUCGGAGCUCCUGCUGCAUGGUGGGGAAUGGAAAGUUUCGGAGGUUGGGGAUGGACUCGCGGCUUAUCAGCUUGUUGGUGGGGUAGUGGCUUACCAAGGGUUAGACGGGUAGCCGGCCUGAGAGGGUGACCGGCCACAUUGGGACCGGGGUAACGCUCAGAACACCACCGGGGGGAGGCGUGGAGAAUAUUGCAACAAGGGGGGAAGGCUGGAGCAGCAACCGCGGGGGGGGGGUAGCGGCUCUCCGGUUGUUAACCGGUUUCUAUAGGGACGAAGCGUGAGUGACGGUACUGGAUGAAGAAGCCCCGGCUAACUACGUG
rnacentral:rRNA from 1 species